UAACUCUGCGCAUGCGCAGACACACAGAGACUGCCCCGCAGACACCCAGGAAUCUGUGCGAGGUCAGACUACCUGAGUCAGCAGUCCGGAUACAGGGAAGGGCAUUUCUGCCCCGCAGAUGCCCAGGAAUCUGUGCGGAACAGAGGAGCUCCGGACUGCUUCCAUCAGCAGACAAGACCAAUCAGGAGAGAUGUGAGGUAAGUUUUAAGCUCUCGCGGGGGAGUUUGUUAAUCGCGGACUUGGAUUUCGAGCGGGCUUCGUGGAUUCAGGUCUUUCGUCGCGAACGUGCUGCUUGUCGAGCGGGCUACUUCGUGGACUUGGAAGUGUACUGGAUCUGACACAUUUAAACAGACUGGAAGAAAAUAUUAAGGCAACAGAAUGACAAGAAUUUAUCUACUGUGCAAUUCACAGCUAUUAAAGUUAAUCACUGGCAACACUCCUCAGAAUGGCUGAAAACCCAAAAGAGAACACAAUUACAGACGCCUGCUGGAGAUAUGGACAAAUAAAAGCCCAUUACUUACAGAGGGUAUGCAAAUGCCCAGUGGUUGAACACAUCGGGGUCAAGGUAACUGAAUGUACCACUUGAUCAAAGUGCCUCUUAUCAGAGAGGUCAAGUUUUAGAAAUGAAACAACCAAAGACAACAAUGUCUGUAUAUGUAUUAAAUUAUGGGUUAGAUUAAAUUAUUACAGUCUUAGUUGCUGCAAUAAGUAAAAAUUGGAAAAAUCUCUCCAAGAACUGGAAAAUAUGAUAGACCAUGAAAUAUUCACUAUAAAACUGGGUGGACUUUUGAAAUUUAUAAUAUAUUUAUCUUCUAAACUAAUCCCGAUGAAACAAUAGUCAUUGUUUACUGUUGCUCAUUUUAAUAGAUAUGUCUGUCUGUUCAGUGCUGCAAGUGGAUUAUAAUUCAAUGAGGUUAUACAUUGUUUUAGUAUUUGGGUUCUUUUUAUCCAUAAAGAUUUUUCUGUGUUAAAACGGGCAUGUCAUAAAGUCUCUGAAAUAAAGAAACUAAAUCCAA